rnacentral:rRNA from 1 species
GCCUACGGGAGGCAGCAGUGAGGAAUAUUGGUCAAUGGUCGGGAGACUGAACCAGCCAAGCCGCGUGAGGGAGGAAGGUACAGAGUAUCGUAAACCUCUUUUGUCAGGGAACAAAGGCGGGGACGUGUCCCCGGAUGAGUGUACCUGAAGAGAAAGCAUCGGCUAACUCCGUGCCAGCAGCCGCGGUAAUACGGAGGAUGCGAGCGUUAUCCGGAUUUAUUGGGUUUAAAGGGUGCGCAGGCGGUCUGUUAAGUCAGCGGUCAAAGCCCGGGGCUCAACCCCGGCCCGCCGUUGAAACUGGCAGG